CUCGAAGUCCAUCUCGGGGAUGGCCUGCAGGGGCCCGGCGAGCGCCUUCACGUCCUGCUCAGCCGCACAGAACUGCGCCGGCGCCAGGAGGCUCUCGGGCCUCUCGUGCUUUCUGCUCUCCAUCUCCCACUCACUGGGCUUCCCGGGCUGCAUGCUCUCCAUCAAGCUUUGCUGUUGUUGGCUUUUCUUCACUGGGGGCAUCAAGUGUCUUUAAAGGGGAAACGGAAUACAAUACGGUUGGUUAGUGCAGGCCUCUCCCCGAAGCACGAGGCUGGGAGCAACACGCCUCUGCCAGCUGCUGCUAAGACGCACAACUAAUGGUUCCUCUCCUCUCUGCCCUCCUAGGUGCCUUCGUGUGUCACCUACCAAACUCCAUGGGCUUCUACAGCUAAGGAGUCCCCAUGAGCCCUGGUCCCCCACGUGGGAGGGUGAAAACGCCAUCUGUGAAGCAGAUGACCGAAGUAUCUGUCAGAGCAAGCAGGCUUGGCACAGAGAUGGCAGGUUAGCCAAGGAUGGUCGUCCCUCCGCACGUGGAAGCUCUGACCCGCCCACCACGUGGCCAGAGCCCCAAGGAAUAAAUCUCCAAGAACUCCUUGGCGUGGCCACUUCAGGACCCUUUCCUGCAGAGCAUGAAGCAAAUCGAGGUGCUGCUGGACAAGGGUCCAACGAGAAUAAAUCAGUGGACAAUUGA
ensembl:lncRNA